rfam:TPA: Bos taurus chromosome X, whole genome shotgun sequence.
UCCCUGGUGGCUCAGAGGAUAAAGCAUCUGCCUGCAAUGCAGGAAGCCCAGGUUCGAUUCCUGUAUCGGGAA